rnacentral:rRNA from 1 species
GCUGUUUCGCUGACGAGUGGCGGACGGGUGAGUAAUGUCUGGGAAACUGCCUGAUGGAGGGGGAUAACUACUGGAAACGGUAGCUAAUACCGCAUAACGUCGCAAGACCAAAGAGGGGGACCUUCGGGCCUCUUGCCAUCGGAUGUGCCCAGAUGGGAUUAGCUAGUAGGUGGGGUAAAGGCUCACCUAGGCGACGAUCCCUAGCUGGUCUGAGAGGAUGACCAGCCACACUGGAACUGAGACACGGUCCAGACUCCUACGGGAGGCAGCAGUGGGGAAUAUUGCACAAUGGGCGCAAGCCUGAUGCAGCCAUGCCGCGUGUAUGAAGAAGGCCUUCGGGUUGUAAAGUACUUUCAGCGGGGAGGAAGGGAGUAAAGUUAAUACCUUUGCUCAUUGACGUUACCCGCAGAAGAAGCACCGGCUAACUCCGUGCCAGCAGCCGCGGUAAUACGGAGGGUGCAAGCGUUAAUCGGAAUUACUGGGCGUAAAGCGCACGCAGGCGGUUUGUUAAGUCAGAUGUGAA